AUGAUCUGCUUAAAGGCACGGCUGGAGCUGUUCUCAGGAAGAUUCAUUGUUGGCGGAAACUGGAAAAUUGAUCGGUGUACGGAUGUUUCGACAUCAGAAGUGUUGGCCCUAAGGUUUGGAUUACUCCUUGCACAAAGGGUGGGAUGCAAUCAUCUUGUUAUUAACUCUGAUAAUAUGGAAGUAAUCAACACAAUGAAGAAUGGAGGAUAAUUGGCAGGAGCGGCGGCGGCAACCUUUGAUGAUUGCUAUUUUUUGGCUUGUGAUUUUCCUCUUACUAAGUUUGAACAUUGUAAUAGGGAAGCAAAUAAGUUCACUCAUGAACUUGCUAGGUUAGCGAAAUUUUCUGCGACUAGGGACAGUUUUGAGGAGACCUUGGACGAAAUUGUAACUUUUCUUAUUGACCAUAUAACUAUUAUUUCUAAUUAA
rnacentral:rRNA from 1 species